ensembl:lncRNA
GGCCUGGAUCCUACCUCAAUAAGGGGCUAACUGAUGAACGGAAGAGGUAGUCUUGUAUCCUACCUCAAUAAGGGGCUAACUGAUGAACGGAAGAGGUAGUCUUGUAUCCUACCUCAAUAAGGGGCUAACUGAUGAACGGAAGAGGUAGUCAUGUAUCCUACUUCAAUAAGGGGCUAACUGAUGAACAGAAGAGGUAGGCCUGGAUCCUACCUCAGUAAGGGGCUAACUGAUGAACGGAAGAGGUAGUCAUGUAUCCUACUUCAAUAAGGGGCUAACUGAUGAACAGAAGAGGUAGGCCUGGAUCCUACCUCAGUAAGGGGCUAACUGAUGAACGGAAGAGGUAGUCAUGUAUCCUACUUCAAUAAGGGGCUAACUGAUGAACAGAAGAGGUAGGCCUGGAUCCUACCUCAAUAAGGGGCUAACUGAUGAACGGAAGAGGUAGGCCUGAAUCCUACCUCAAUAAGGGGCUAACUGAUGAACGGAAGAGGUAGUCAUGUAUCCUACUUCAAUAAGGGGCUAACUGAUGAACAGAAGAGGUAGGCCUGGAUCCUACCUCAGUAAGGGGCUAAC